UCCCCUUCACCAAGCAUUAUUGGUCCGUUCUUUUUCUACCCUCUCCUUUGAAAGAACAGACCAAACAGAUCUGACGACAUUGGCAGUUCUUCUUUUAUUUGUUUACUGGAUGUUUUAUGCAUGCUGACUGUCCAUCCUUAUCCACUAGCUAGGCUCCUAUUGGCCUUGGAAACCAAGAGGGGAGAGCCGAGAAGGCCUGCUUGAGUGCUUGGCCAUAUUCGGUGUAGUGUAGAGAAGCUAGCUAGGCAUCUAUUACUUCAUGGCAGCAUUUAAAAUAUAUUCCAGCUUGUGGUGCCUUCGGGUAAAUACGGGAAACCGUUCGAGGGAUUCUUGCUCGGCGUUAUGCUGGUGUUGACAUUGGUGACACCUCGUGGUGCCACUUCCUUUCUGAAGGCGAUGUCGAUAUCUCCUCAUACCUAUGCGCAAGGCGGUAAUUGAUGAGCAGUGACAAUCCGAGCAUCAAGUUUCUAAGCAGACGAGUGAUGUGUUGGAUUAAUGCAAUGUAAAGACUCUACAAGGAUGAAGCGGAACGAAGAAGGUUGAAACUUAGUCUUCUAGUUUUUCUUUGUUUUGUAGCUUUAAUUUGUUUCUUGUUUGGGUGAAAUUCCAGGUUUAGAGUCUAAGAACUCUUGUAACGUUUGGUUGUAGACAUUCACUCGUGAAUGUUCAAGGUCGGAAUUUUCCUAUAUCUAAAAAACUUAAUGCAAUACUGCUCUAAUUUACAUCAUACAA